UUUUUGGUUGAUAUAAUUGAUAAAUUUAUAGAAAUCGUCAUAUUUUAUAUAUCUCAAUAUCCUUCCUAUUCUUUUGUGAAUAUGGUUAAAGGAAUUAGCCUUAAUACAAUCUUCUUAUCAAAAGAAGAAAUGUUUUAGGCUAUUUGUUACAAGUAAGAGGAAUGUCAUUACAUUCCAUUUUGUCUUACUUAAGAGGGAACUUGU
rnacentral:lncRNA from 1 species